GGUUAAGCGACUAAGCGUACACGGUGGAUGCCCUGGCAGUCAGAGGCGAUGAAGGACGUGCUAAUCUGCGAAAAGCGUCGGUAAGGUGAUAUGAACCGUUAUAACCGGCGAUGUCCGAAUGGGGAAACCCAGUGCAAUUCGUUGCACUAUCGUUAACUGAAUACAUAGGUUAACGAGGCGAACCGGGGGAACUGAAACAUCUAAGUACCCCGAGGAAAAGAAAUCAACCGAGAUUCCCCCAGUAGCGGCGAGCGAACGGGGAGCAGCCCAGAGUCUGAAUCAGCUUGUGUGUUAGUGGAACGGUCUGGAAAGUCCGACGGUACAGGGUGAUAGUCCCGUACACCAAAAUGCACAGGUUGUGAACUCGAAGAGUAGGGCGGGACACGUGGUAUCCUGUCUGAAUAUGGGGGGACCAUCCUCCAAGGCUAAAUACUCCUGACUGACCGAUAGUGAACCAGUACCGUGAGGGAAAGGCGAAAAGAACCCCGGCGAGGGGAGUGAAAAAGAACCUGAAACCGUGUACGUACAAGCAGUGGGAGCACCUUCGGGUGUGACUGCGUACCUUUUGUAUAAUGGGUCAGCGACUUAUAUUCUGUAGCAAGGUUAACCGUAUAGGGGAGCCGCAGGGAAACCGAGUCUUAACUGGGCGUUAAGUUGCAGGGUAUAGACCCGAAACCCGGUGAUCUAGCCAUGGGCAGGUUGAAGGUUGGGUAACACUAACUGGAGGACCGAACCGACUAAUGUUGAAAAAUUAGCGGAUGACUUGUGGCUGGGGGUGAAAGGCCAAUCAAACCGGGAGAUAGCUGGUUCUCCCCGAAAGCUAUUUAGGUAGCGCCUCGUGAAUUCAUCUUCGGGGGUAGAGCACUGUUUCGGCUAGGGGGUCAUCCCGACUUACCAACCCGAUGCAAACUACGAAUACCGAAGAAUGUUAUCACGGGAGACACACGGCGGGUGCUAACGUCCGUCGUGAAGAGGGAAACAACCCAGACCGCCAGCUAAGGUCCCAAAGUCAUGGUUAAGUGGGAAACGAUGUGGGAAGGCACAGACAGCCAGGAUGUUGGCUUAGAAGCAGCCAUCAUUUAAAGAAAGCGUAAUAGCUCACUGGUCGAGUCGGCCUGCGCGGAAGAUGUAACGGGGCUAAACCAUGCACCGAAGCUGCGGCAGCGACACUAUGUGUUGUUGGGUAGGGGAGCGUUCUGUAAGCCUGCGAAGGUGUGCUGUGAGGCAUGCUGGAGGUAUCAGAAGUGCGAAUGCUGACAUAAGUAACGAUAAAGCGGGUGAAAAGCCCGCUCGCCGGAAGACCAAGGGUUCCUGUCCAACGUUAAUCGGGGCAGGGUGAGUCGACCCCUAAGGCGAGGCCGAAAGGCGUAGUCGAUGGGAAACAGGUUAAUAUUCCUGUACUUGGUGUUACUGCGAAGGGGGGACGGAGAAGGCUAUGUUAGCCGGGCGACGGUUGUCCCGGUUUAAGCAUGUAGGCUGAUUAUCCAGGCAAAUCCGGAUAAUCAAGGCUGAGGUGUGAUGACGAGGCACUACGGUGCUGAAGUAACAAAUGCCCUGCUUCCAGGAAAAGCCUCUAAGCAUCAGGUAACAUCAAAUCGUACCCCAAACCGACACAGGUGGUCAGGUAGAGAAUACCAAGGCGCUUGAGAGAACUCGGGUGAAGGAACUAGGCAAAAUGGUGCCGUAACUUCGGGAGAAGGCACGCUGGUGUGUAGGUGAAGCCCCUGCGGGUGGAGCUGAGACCAGUCGAAGAUACCAGCUGGCUGCAACUGUUUAUUAAAAACACAGCACUGUGCAAACACGAAAGUGGACGUAUACGGUGUGACGCCUGCCCGGUGCCGGAAGGUUAAUUGAUGGGGUUAUCCGUAAGGAGAAGCUCUUGAUCGAAGCCCCGGUAAACGGCGGCCGUAACUAUAACGGUCCUAAGGUAGCGAAAUUCCUUGUCGGGUAAGUUCCGACCUGCACGAAUGGCGUAAUGAUGGCCAGGCUGUCUCCACCCGAGACUCAGUGAAAUUGAACUCGCUGUGAAGAUGCAGUGUACCCGCGGCAAGACGGAAAGACCCCGUGAACCUUUACUAUAGCUUGACACUGAACAUUGAGCCUUGAUGUGUAGGAUAGGUGGGAGGCUUUGAAGCGUGGACGCCAGUCUGCGUGGAGCCAACCUUGAAAUACCACCCUUUAAUGUUUGAUGUUCUAACGUUGGCCCCUGACCGGGGUUGCGGACAGUGUCUGGUGGGUAGUUUGACUGGGGCGGUCUCCUCCCAAAGCGUAACGGAGGAGCACGAAGGUUAGCUAAUCCUGGUCGGACAUCAGGAGGUUAGUGCAAUGGCAUAAGCUAGCUUGACUGCGAGCGUGACGGCGCGAGCAGGUGCGAAAGCAGGUCAUAGUGAUCCGGUGGUUCUGAAUGGAAGGGCCAUCGCUCAACGGAUAAAAGGUACUCCGGGGAUAACAGGCUGAUACCGCCCAAGAGUUCAUAUCGACGGCGGUGUUUGGCACCUCGAUGUCGGCUCAUCACAUCCUGGGGCUGAAGUAGGUCCCAAGGGUAUGGCUGUUCGCCAUUUAAAGUGGUACGCGAGCUGGGUUUAGAACGUCGUGAGACAGUUCGGUCCCUAUCUGCCGUGGGCGCUGGAGAAUUGAGGGGGGCUGCUCCUAGUACGAGAGGACCGGAGUGGACGCAUCACUGGUGUUCGGGUUGUCAUGCCAAUGGCACUGCCCGGUAGCUAAAUGCGGAAGAGAUAAGUGCUGAAAGCAUCUAAGCACGAAACUUGCCCCGAGAUGAGUUCUCCCUGAGACUUUAAGUCUCCUGAAGGAACGUUGAAGACGACGACGUUGAUAGGCCGGGUGUGUAAGCGCAGCGAUGCGUUGAGCUAACCGGUACUAAUGAACCGUGAGGCUUAACCUU
rfam:Klebsiella pneumoniae IS46, WGS project CBWL01000000 data, contig: c202